rnacentral:misc_RNA from 1 species
GAAAUGCGAUAAGUAAUGUGAAUUGCAGAAUUCAGUGAAUCAUCGAAUCUUUGAACGCACAUUGCGCCCCCUGGUAUUCCGGGGGGCAUGCCUGUUCGAGCGUCAUUUCACCACUCAAGCCUCGCUUGGUAUUGGGCGACGCGGUCCGCCGCGCGCCUCAAAUCGACCGGCUGGGUCUUUCGUCCCCUCAGCGUUGUGGGAACUAUUCGCUAAAGGGUGCCGCGGGAGGCCACGCCGUAAAACAACCCCAUUUCUAAGGUUGACCUCGGAUCAGGUAGGGAUACCCGCUGAACUUAAGC